UACGAUAAAAUUUCAAUAAUGCGUAUUCCGGUGUCGCGUUUUCGCGAGUGUUUAUGAUCGGAGUGCAUUCUGCAGUUUUGAUGUUGCUGUUUAAGUACCUGUAAAAACACUUUAGUCGUAGAUGUUUCAUUCCACCGGAUCUUAGGGUAAAGCCGAUCUUCCUAGGAAAUAGAUUUCUGUGUGUCAUGGGUAAGACCUAGAUUAGAUUACUAUUCACAAAUAGUUACGAAUGUAGGAUAUACCACUGUUAAGGUAAUGCGAAGCUUAGCUAAGUGAGAGAGUGGAGGAGCAUAUCCGAACAGUCUUAGGACUAAAAUAAUU